AAAAAAAAAAAAAGAAAAAAAGAGCACACACCUGCCAUAUGACCAAGCAUUCCAUUCCAAGGCAUUUACCCAAGAGAAACAGAAGACAAAGACGAGGAUAUAAAUGUUCACGGCAGCUUUAUUUGCUUUAUUUUUAUUUAGAAAUUGGAAAUAAUCGAAAUAUCGGUCAACAGGUAAAUAAAUAAACUGUGGUAUAUCCAUGCAAUACAAAAUGUGGAUUAUUGAUGUACACAAAAUGGGUGAAUGCCAAAAUAAUUAUGCUGAGUAGAAGCACCUCCCCCCACAGUACUUGCUCUGCGAUUCCACUCAGAUAAAAUUCUAGAAUAUAUAAAUUAACCUUUAGUGAGAGGGAGCAGACCAGUGGUUGCCUGAACAUGGAGGACACGAGGGACGGUUUAGACCGGGGUGUGAAACUGCUGUUGGUGGUGAUGGACAUGUUCUGGCGACAGCUUCACAGGCAAAUGCAUCGGUCACUUCACGUAUGUGCAGUUCAUUACCUGUCAGUUACACCUCAACAGAGCUGUUUUAAAAAGCAAGGUGGGGCCGGCUUUGGUGGCUCACACCUGUAAUCCCAGCACUUUGGGAGGCCAAGGAAGGAGGAUCGCUUGAGGCCAGGAGUUUAAGACCAGCCUGGGCAACACAGUGAGACACUGUUCCUAUUUUAAAUAACAAAACAAAACAAAAGUGGUACAAUAACAACUUUUAAAACUCAAAAAGAAACAAAGAAAGAGAUAAAAGAGAUUCAAGAGACAGUGGCAAACACUGAGAACAGCCAAUUUAGAUUUCAACAUACAGAUAACAGGGAUCCCCACAGAAAAAAGCCAAAGCAAGAAAAAUGUAACACUAAACUCCAGUUCAAGCAAAUCUUCUUAAAAUAACAGAUAUGAAGUACACAUAGAAAGAGCACACCAUACGCUUGCAAAUAAUCAUAAUCAUUCAAUAAGCUAUACAUUUGUUUUGUGUCACUUCCUGUAUGUUUUUAUAAUAAAAAGGUUUAAAACUAAAUAAAUAAUCAUGUCAAACUUUUACUACUUUUUUUUUUUUUUGAGACAGAGUCUCACUCUGUUGCCCAGGAUGGAGUGCAGUGGUGCAAUCUUGGCUCACUGCAACCUCUGCCG
rnacentral:lncRNA from 10 species